UACGUAGGGGGGCAAGCGUUGUCCGGAAUCAUUGGGCGUAAAGAGCGUGUAGGCGGCCCGGUAAGUCCGCUGUAAAAAGUCAAAGGCUCAACCUUUGAAUGUCAGUGGAUACUGCCGGGCUAGAGUCCGGAAGAGGCGAGUGGAACUCCUGGUGUAGCGGUGGAAUGCGCAGAUAUCAGGAAGAACACCAACGGCGAAGGCAGCUCGCUGGGGACGGUACUGACGCUGAGACGCGAAAAGCGUGGGGGAGCGAACAGG
rnacentral:rRNA from 1 species